AGAGUGGACAUUUUCUUCUUCCUCCAUCUGACAGGCAAAAGUUCCAGGCACAUCUCCUCCUUGGAGGAAAUAUGGGUUGGCUGAUCUCAUGCAGCGAGCUUUAAACUAGCUUCACCAGGGAAUGGGGCUGCAGGAAGACUUAAGGACACCUCCCGACCAAGACAGGUGACAUACGCAAGGAGUACCCAGGGACUGGGACUCUCUGACCAAGAUUCCAGAUGGACUCGGGAGAAACACCGCCAGGCCUAAGGUCAGGGAGGACCGCGUUAGAGAGCUUCUGGAGGGGCUGGACGUGUUCAAAUCAGCAGUUCCAGAUGCUCUCCAUCCCAGGGUGUUGAGGGAGCUAGCAGGGGUUAUUGCAGGGCCCUUGGCACAGCUUUAUGAGCGCUCGUGGUACUCAGGCCAGGUGCCAGAUGAUUGGAAGAAAGCCAACAUGGUCCCCAUCUUCAAAAAAGGGAAGAGGGAGGACCCAGGCAACUAUAGGCCCAUUAGUCUUACUUCAAUCCUGGGGAAACUCUUUGAGAACAUCAUCAAGGAGCACAUCUGUGAUGGGCCAGCAGCAGGGAUGAUGCUCAAGGGCAACCAGCAUGGUUUCAUUAGGGGCAGGUCCUGUCAGACCAACCUGAUUGCCUUCUACGAUCAGGUCACAAAAGCAUUGGAUGCAGGUGCCGCGGUGGAUGUAGUCUUUCUGGACUUCAGCAAGGCCUUUGACACUGUCUCCCACCCCAUUCUCAUCAAAAAACUAGGUGACUGUGGCAUUGAUGCCUACACAGUCAGAUGGAUUGCAAAUUGGCUGAAGGGUCAUACUCAGAGGGUAGAGGUGGAUGGGUCUUUUUCGACCUGGAGGGAAGUAGGCAGUGGAGUCCCCGAGGGCUCGGUCCUUGGCCCGCACCGUUCAAUUUCUUUAUUAGUGACUUGGACAACGAGGUAAAAUGAUGAUACCAAGAUUUGGGGUGAGGUGGGCAUGCUAGUAGGGAAGGACAGAUUACAGAAGGACCUGGACAGGUUACAGGGCUGUUACAGGGCCAACGAAAAUAGGAUGGGUUUCAAUACUGACAAGUGCAGGGUGCUGCACUUGGGCAGUAGGAACCAGCAGCACGCUUAUAAGCUGGUAAGCUCCCUUCUUGAGAGCACGGUGGCAGAAAGAGAUCUUGGAGUCAUUAUUGACUCCAAGAUGAACAUGGGCCGACAAUGCAAGGUGACGGUCAGUAGGGCUAACCAUACCUUGUUGAGCAUCCACUCUAUGCGCCACUGGUCAGGCUGCAGCUGGAGUACUGUGUUCAGUUCCGGGUGCUGCACUUCAGGAGGGAUGUGGACAGCAUUGAGAGGAUCCAGAGGAGGGCCACAUGUGUGAUCUGGGGACAGCAGGGCAGACCCUAUGUUCAGCCUUCGCAAGAGAAGGCUGAGGGGGGACCUGGUGGCCAUCUAUAAACUCACCGGGGGGGACCAGCAGGGUUUGGGAGAGACCCUGUUCCCCCUAGUGCCCCCGGGGUAACAAGUAAUAACGGCCACAAAUUGUUAGAGAAUAGGUUUAGACAAGACAUCCGAAGGCACUACUUCACAGUCAGGGUGGCUAGGAUCUGGAACCAACUUCCAAGGGAAGUGGUGAUGGCUCCUACUCUGGGGGUGUUUAAAAGGAGGCUUGAUGUCUACCUGGCUGGGGCCAUUUGAACCCAGUUUCUCUCCUGCCCAAGGCUGGGGGUUGGACUUGAUGAUCUACAAGGUCCCUUCUGACCCUAUUUGUAUGAAUCUAUGAAUCUAUGUAUCUAUAAACAUUGUCUAGAGACACCACAAAUUUGUCCUUUAUAGAUAAAUUGUGACUUUAAAAUUCUGUCUGGUUUUAUAAAAUAAACUAUAGUAUAUUUUAAACUAUAAUUUUAAAGUAAAAUAUUAGGGCUGUCAAAUGAUUAAAAAAAGUUGGCUGUGAUUAGUUGCAUGGUUAAAAAUAUUAGUUGCAAUUAAUCACUAUUUUAAUCACACAGCUAAAAACUCAAAAUUAUACACAGAAAAACUAAAAAAUAUGCAAAAUUAUGCAGGUACUCUGUAUGGUUGAGGGAUGGGUGUAGGGUGUAUGUCUGGGGAAUUUGUGAAAGUGUGCAGAGGCUGUAGGGUUUACAGCCUGAGAAAAGGGGACCCUGGCAGGAUGCGGGGUACAGUGGGUCAGGAGUGAGGGGCAGCAGCAGGGGUGGGGGGGGCACUGUGGCUUGGGAGUGAAUGGCAGGGAUGGACACAGGCAUAUCACUGCCCCCCCACAAUCAUAUAGCCCACCCCCCACCAGUGUCAUCUUUUUUUAAACUGGAAAUAUGGAAACCCUACAAGAAUGCAGCCUGGUGGUACAUGGAGAAGUGCCCAGUAGAUAAGUCUA